rnacentral:lncRNA from 1 species
CCUGAGGAAAGCUGGAUGUGCAGUUCUCAAGUUUGAGGGACUCCUGAUGUGACAAGUAAUGAUGUUUUUCUGUAUGUUGUGGGGACUGUGGUGCCUACAUGGUGUUUCUGUUGAAGAGGACUCAUAGCCGUGGAAAGCUGCACAGGAUUCAAAGCCCGCAUAGAGGGUGCCUAGCUUGAACCAUCAGGAGUUCGUGUCCUCCACUUGGGAGUUCCAAGGAUGAGCACCAAAUUGGGCAAGGGGGAGUAAUUAUUUCUUGAAAUAUGUCCUUUGUUUACCAAAUUGAGUAUUUUAGAACAUUGGGUGUGGGGAAGAGAACUAAAAUGGGUGAUUGACCAAGAGAAGUUUGGAAUGCCUGUGGUAAAAGAAUUGAAAUCAACAGAUUUGAGAGGAGAGUAGUAGGUCCUACUGUCUGGCAAAGGUUUCUGAGGAACAGCUAGGUUUGGAGGGUUGUCUCAGCCAGACAGGGAAAAGAAUGAGACAGUUCUUCCUUUCCUUUGGGACUCUGUUUCUCUCCCUUGGUAAAAUGAGAGCAGGAGACCAGAGAAUCUCUUGGUCCUCUUUGUUCUGUAAACUGGGUUUCAGGACUCCGGUCAUAUGAUGGUGAAUUCCAUAGAGGUGGCCUCAUGGUUGCUGGUUUGUUGGGAGGUAGAAGCUGGAUUUUGACUCUGGGAAUGGACAAGCCACCAAGACCCCAGGCAGGGAGAAGAAGAGAAAGCAAUGGGUGCUAGGGCCUCAGAGGGGCUGAUAAUAGUGAGAAAAAACUCUUAUUGGAGUCACUGCUCAUGUGUUUCUUCUCAGUUAUACGUACACCACAACUAUUACAUUGCCCGGAUAUGCCUAACUACUAUGAUUGCAAGAAACAGUGCGACUUUUACUCAGAUUGUGGUAUUGGCAAUGAAUGCUGCUUGUCUGUCUGUGGAAAAAUCUGCAUGAAAAUGCCAGAACCUGAGACCCUCAGUGAUAGCAACCACCCCAGCACCACGGUGGUGUCUACUGUUGUUCCCUUGAAUUUCACUGAGAUGUUCCAGAGGCAUCAUCAUCAUAACACUACCUGAUAAUCAGUGGGACCAUUGUUUUGUCUCGGUGGGUUGGGGGAAGGAGGAGGACAUGUCUCCCCUACUUGUCAACCCUCUUCUCUGAACAAUUAUAUUGUCAGCUUCAGUUCAUUGACAAAUAAAC